UCAAACUUGGUCAUUUAGAGGAAGUAAAAGUCGUAACAAGGUUUCCGUAGGUGAACCUGCGGAAGGAUCAUUACCAAGGUUGAAUAUAAUACUAUUCACCCCAUUGUGUGCACUCAUUUGAACUGUUUUGGAAAAGAAAAAAUAGUUUUUUUUUCUUUUUCCAAAUGGUUCCAACCAAUUUUCUUCCACCGCUUUACUGCCUUUGUCUGACUGAUUCUUUCAUGUAACUUUCAAAUACAACUUUCAACAACGGAUCUCUUGGCUCUCGCAUCGAUGAAGAACGCAGC
rnacentral:misc_RNA from 1 species